rnacentral:misc_RNA from 1 species
AAAAGAAAAAAAUAGAGUUGGAAGUUGGAACAUUCAAAACAUUGGAAUUCAAAAAUGAAACUGAAUGAAAGUUCCCGUCAUUUUCAGGUGCUCUUGGGUGCUAUUCACAUUGGUUUUUAUAGAGGAGAUUUGUAAUGGAGAAUCAGAGCAAUCGCCGCACGUGAAGCAACCAAAAUUCGAUCUCAAAUGGUUAUGAGACACACGCCAUCUGACGUUUGCAAACAACAGAUCAAUAAUGGGGAAUUCUUUUCUACGAUUACGUUCAUUAUCAUCUGAUGCAUACCGAUUUUUCAUGAUGAAUCUAUCGAUGAGCCAUGAAAUGAAUGUUCUGAAUGUACCAAGUGGAGAAGUGAUUCAACACAGCUCCGCCAAAGAGGUAGCUGCUUCAUUGCAGCGAAUGAUACUGAAGUUGAAAGGAAAAUAUUUGUCUGAAGAUGGAAAAUCAGUUGAUUACGCAGAACUGAGGAAUGAUAAUUUGUUCAAAGAAUUUCAAGCCCAAUCAGAACAACUUGCUGAUCUAGAAUUAGCUGAUUUAAGUCCUGUUCAAAGAAAAGCAUUCUUCAUAAACAUAUACAACACACUAACAAUUCAUGCUCUUUCUAAGGUUGAGCCUUUGCCCAGUUCUUUAUUAGAAGUUACUAAUUUCUGGAAACAUUCAGCAUACAAAAUUAGUGGGCUUGUUUUCUCUUUGGAUGACAUUGAACACGGCAUAUUACGCGCCAACACAAGACAUCCUUCAGCACUCAGUAAACCUUUUAAAGAUGAUGACCCCCGCGUUCAGUUCAGCUUGAAAGAAUUAGAUCCCCGAAUACAUUUUGUUUUGAAUUGUGGGGGCAAGUCAUGUCCUGCUAUUGGUGUAUAUAAUGAAGAUAAUCUGGAGGCAGCAUUGAGCAAUUCUGCCACAAAUUUUCUUUCAGAAACUGUUCAGAUUGAGAAUAACACAAUUCAUCUAUCAAAACUUUUGCUGUGGUAUGGUGCUGACUUCGGAUCUAACGACAAAGAUAUUCUCCGGUGGAUUAGCCAAUACAUACCAGAUUCUCGAAAGGAGACGAUCAUUGAACUUAUUGAAUCUGGCCGCUUCAAAGUAGUUCACGAUGAGUACAAUUGGCUGAUCAACGCUAAGUGAACUAAUCUUAGUUGCACCUUAGUUUUAUUAUUACCAUUUACGCGAUUUGCGGUGUCUAGUAAUUGGAAACGAUCGUUACAGUGUUGUGUUAGUAGUAUUACACAGUUACGUGGAGUAUUACGCGCACAAAUUGUUUAGACGAGGGAACAAGUCAAUACACGAAAUCAUUUUCAUAUCUCAUAAAA